rnacentral:rRNA from 1 species
GACGAACGCUGGCGGCGUGCUUAACACAUGCAAGUCGAACGGAAAGGCCCUUUCGGGGGUACUCGAGUGGCGAACGGGUGAGUAACACGUGGGUGAUCUGCCCUGCACUUUGGGAUAAGCCUGGGAAACUGGGUCUAAUACCGGAUAUGACUAUGGCCUGCAUGGGUUGUGGUGGAAAGCUUUUGCGGUGUGGGAUGGGCCCGCGGCCUAUCAGCUUGUUGGUGAGGUUAUGGCUUACCAAGGCGACGACGGGUAGCCGGCCUGAGAGGGUGUCCGGCCACACUGGGACUGAGAUACGGCCCAGACUCCUACGGGAGGCAGCAGUGGGGAAUAUUGCACAAUGGGCGCAAGCCUGAUGCAGCGACGCCGCGUGAGGGAUGACGGCCUUCGGGUUGUAAACCUCUUUCAGUACAGACGAAGCGUAAGUGACGGUAUGUACAGAAGAAGCACCGGCCAACUACGUG